AUUAAGAAAACUUUAGAUAUAAAUCAAGUGCUGACCCCUUUUUCGAAAAUCUUGAAAAAAUAAAACAGAUAAACAUUCAAUGAGUAAAAAUUUUAAAAAGGUGCUGCCAUCUAUAUGCUUCUGGAACAUAAAAUCCAAAAAAGCAUAAAAAUCCAUUGUCAUUCAAUUCAUACCUGCCAACAUUGGGGAAAUGAAACAACGGAGAUUUUACUAGCCACGUUUAUCAGGCUAUGAGUAAAGUUUUGAUACAUCAUGCAUAAUCAUGUGAAAAACAGUUUGCAAGAACAUAACAAUACCGCAACAUAUGCUCUCCCUUUCAACCUAAGACGAAUUCUCCUCCCCACAAAUAAAUCUCUUACAAGAGUCAAUGGAUUCUCCUAUUGGAGGUGUGAAUAAAAAAAGUGAGAGUCAUUCUCUAAAAGUGGGGUGAAAUGCUUGAAGAUCAAGUUUCAGCUGAACUUUAUUAUUUUUACUCUUCAUAAUUUAGAGAUGUUCAAGUAAAAUGAUGAAUAAAAGAGAAAUGUGU